UACGUCGGGUGAGAGCGUGAAUCGGAAUUACUGGGCGUAACGCGUGCGCAGGCGGUUAUAUAAGACAGAUGUGAAAUCCCCGGGCUCAACCUGGGACCUGCAUUUGUGACUGUAUAGCUAGAGUACGGUAGAGGGGGAUGGAAUUCCGCGUGUAGCAGUGAAAUGCGUAGAUAUGCGGAGGAACACCGAUGGCGAAGGCAAUCCCCUGGACCUGUACUGACGCGCAUGCACGAAAGCGUGGGGAGAAAACAGGAGGAGAUACCCCCGUAGUCC
rnacentral:rRNA from 1 species